rnacentral:lncRNA from 1 species
CCGCGGCGGGGGGGCAAUAAAUAGAGGGGGGACAUAGGAAGGCACCGGGUGGGGAGGGCACUGGGCUGUACUGGUCCAUACUGGCAGGACAGAAGGCUGUGUGGGUGAAGAGGUCCCAGUGGGGGUGCCCUACCGGUCCGUACUGGUCCAUACUGGGAGACGCAAGGCCACGUGGGUGAGGAGCUCCCAGUUGAGAUGCCAUACUGGUCCAUACUGGUCCGUACUGGGAUGGCCCAAGGCCACGUGGGUGAAGAGAUUCCAGCUCUGCCGCUGUACUGGUCUGGACUGGGACGGCGCAAGGCCACGCAGGUGAGGAAUCCCGAUGAGGAUGCUGUACUGGUCCAUGCUGGUCCGAACUGGUCCAACCCAAGGCCAUGGAGAUGCAGGAGCUCCCAGUUGGGCCCCCAGACCUACGCUGGUUCAUACUGGUCCACGCCGGGACGCUCCGAGGCGACGUAGAGAAAUGGCAGGGGAGGCAGUGGGCUGUACUGGGCCGUACUGGGGCUGCUGCGAUGUCCCUGGCUCCCCGUAGGGGGCUAGAACACUGCUAUGAGGCAGGGACUGUGCUAUGGGGCAGGCAAACCCACUAUAGGGUAGGAGAGACCCCACUAUGGGGCAGGAACCACUUGCUAUGGGGCAUCAAGGAUCCCCUUAUAGGGCAGGGACAUUCCAUUAUGGGGCAGGGACCCCGCUGUGGGGCAGCGGAGCCCCUGCUAUGGGGCAGUCACUCACCACAGCCAUCCCCGGCAGAUGCAGGGGGCCGGGGCAGACUCCCGCGGCGCUCUGUGAUGGGGGGCAGAGGAGGUCAGCCCCCCACGGCUGGCCCCGGUCCCCAAAAGGGAUCUAUGGGUCCCCAUGCAUGCCUUCAGAAUAGCUAUGUUGAUCUAGGGGUCCCUAAGGGAGUCUAUGGGUCCCCAAAAGGGAUCUAUGGGUCCCCAUGCAUGCCUUCAGAAUAGCUAUGUUGAUCUAGGGGUCCCCAAGGAAGAUCUAUAGGUCCCCCCAGGCAUCUAUGGGGUCCAUAUGCUGGUCUAUGGGUCUCCUCGGGGGCUCUAUAGGGUCCAUGGGACAUCGAUAGCCCCCCAUGGGCGUCUCCAGGUCUCUCAGCCGGUCUCAGGGCCCACUUGGGGGCUCCAUAGGGUCCCCAGGGAUCUCUAUACCGCUCCAUAGGCAUCUCUGGGGUCCCUAAGCUGCUCUGUGGGCCACCUCAGGGGCUUUAUAGGGUCCCCAGAGGCAUCUAUACACCCCCACGGACAUCUCUGCGUCCCUCAGCUGGUCUCGGGG